rnacentral:lncRNA from 1 species
CAGAGGGAGAGCUCAGGGGAAGGCGAGUGCGAAGAGCUGGGAUCACCAGAGAACAGCUUGACGUGAGCAGUGCGAGAACACACAGCUGAGGUCUGCAUGAGACGGAUGAAGAUAUUUGCUCAGAGGCUGUGAUUCUGUGGAGUUUCGUCACAAGCUCUCUGGUUCCUUAUUCACCACCAUGCUUAAACUCUAAUGACACUGGUUGCUUUGAGACUUCAAGUAAGGAAAUUUUAAUAAAAGCUUGACUUGAUGUUAUUCCACUACAAGCUCUGCGCUGAAUUAAACAUAAGGCUGAGGAGAUAUGUUGACAGUACAUCAGCAUGAAGUCCUGCUGGCCACUGCUGAAUAUGGCAGGCACUGCUGUGCUCCAGCAUGCAGGGAGCAGCGCG